AACUUCCAUUUUCUUUAAACUCCCUGCCCUGAAAGGUCAAAAUACUUUAAUUCUGAGGCAAGAGAUUGGCUCACUGACUUGCCCAUAUAUAUUGUGAGUUUUGCCUGACUAAUCUACCUAUUCAGUGAAUUGAAAAUAAUUAAUAGAAGUCCUAUGCCAAGUUCUCAGUCAAAUGCACUUGGUUGCAAAUAUUUUGGCAGGGUGUACAGGGGGAGUGUUGCAAUAUCUGUAAGAAAUUAUACCAAGCAUCAGGUUCCUUCUGUGAGGUUGCACAUGGAAUAGAUGCUCUUCACAGCAACAGUUAGAAGCCCUUGGUCCUGUGCAGUGGGCCAUUGCAAGUGUAAAUAAUCCCAGCCAGCAGUUUUGUUCAUGGGAAACCAUUCCUUUAUAAAAGAUUGUGAGUGCAGAGUAGCUCCCUUUUCAGACAGCUCUGUGGUAGCAGUAGGACAUCAGGAAAAUCCUUUCACAAGGCGAGAGCAAGAAAGCUGCUGAGAGCUUAGGGGAUACUAAAUGUGUUUAUUUGUUUAUGUUGCAGGUCUCUGGGCCAUCCCUGUGAAGGCAAGGUGAGCCCUUCUGCCUGGGGUAGGGAGCUGCCUCUGACUGCCAGAAAUGUCCCUCUGAACAGUUUGGCAGAAUAAGCAUCGCUCCUCUCCCUGAGAAAACUCUCUUAUCAGCGAUGGCUCCUCAGCGCCCUGCAGAUAAGAAGCCCAGGGGCCCCCAGGCUGCUCCCCCGUCCUUCAGCCAGAGCUGCUCCUGCUCCACAGCCCUGCAGCAAUUUAAAGCAUCCAGAAAUUGGCCUUUCAUUUAGAAGAACAUGAAAUUGAGGUAAGAAUAAUACCUGCUGAUGUAGCUGUCUGGUACCAAAUCACAUCACUCAGCCUGGCUGUUCUCAUGCUCCGUGCAGACUCGGAUGCUUUUUGCAUUUCGACAAUUUCUCUUUGCUUUUCUAUAAAAAAAAUGCCUUACCCUGCCAAGGCUUGGCCCUUUUGGGAGCAUUCAGGUGCCC
rnacentral:lncRNA from 1 species